rnacentral:rRNA from 1 species
GACAGAGGGUGCAAACGUUGCUCGGAAUCACUGGGCGUAAAGGGCGUGUAGGCGGCAUUGCAAGUCGGGUGUGAAAGCCCUCAGCUCAACUGAGGAAGUGCGCCCGAAACUGCAGUGCUUGAGUACCGGAGAGGAUGGCGGAAUUCCCCAAGUAGAGGUGAAAUUCGUAGAUAUGGGGAGGAACACCGGUGGCGAAGGCGGCCAUCUGGACGGAUACUGACGCUGAGACGCGAAAGCGUGGGUAGCAAACAGG